GGUACUCGAGCGGCGAACGGGUGAGUAACACGUGAGCAACCUGCCCUAGGCUUUGGGAUAACCCCGGGAAACCGGGGCUAAUACCGAAUAUGACCUGGCCUCGCAUGAGGCUUGGUGGAAAGUUUUUCGGCCUGGGAUGGGCUCGCGGCCUAUCAGCUUGUUGGUGGGGUGAUGGCCUACCAAGGCGACGACGGGUAGCCGGCCUGAGAGGGCGACCGGCCACACUGGGACUGAGACACGGCCCAGACUCCUACGGGAGGCAGCAGUGGGGAAUAUUGCACAAUGGGCGGAAGCCUGAUGCAGCGACGCCGCGUGAGGGAUGACGGCCUUCGGGUUGUAAACCUCUUUCAGCAGGGACGAAGCGUAAGUGACGGUACCUGCAGAAGAAGCGCCGGCCAACUACGUGCCAGCAGCCGCGGUAAGACGUAGGGCGCGAGCGUUGUCCGGAUUUAUUGGGCGUAAAGAGCUCGUAGGCGGCUUGUCGCGUCGACCGUGAAAAC
rnacentral:rRNA from 1 species